rnacentral:rRNA from 1 species
UACGGAGGAUCCGAGCGUUAUCCGGAUUUAUUGGGUUUAAAGGGUGCGUAGGCGGUGCGGUAAGUCAGAUGUGAAAUCCCGGGGCUCAACCCCGGAACUGCAUCCGAUACUGCCGUGCUUGAGUAAUGGAGAGGUAGCUGGAAUUAUCGGUGUAGCAGUGAAAUGCGUAGAUAUCGAUAGGAACACUCGUGGCGAAAGCGAGCUACUGGACAUUUACUGACGCUGAGGCUCGAAGGCUAGGGGAGCGAAAGGG